rnacentral:rRNA from 1 species
GACAGAGGGUGCAAACGUUGUUCGGAAUUACUGGGCGUAAAGCGCGUGUAGGCUGCUCGGAAAGUCGGAUGUGAAAGCCCUGAGCUCAACUUAGGAAGUGCAUUCGAAACUUCCGAGCUGGAGUGCUGGAGAGGAAGGCGGAAUUCUCGGUGUAGAGGUGAAAUUCGUAGAUAUCGAGAGGAACACCGGUGGCGAAGGCGGCCUUCUGGACAGCGACUGACGCUGAGACGCGAAAGCGUGGGGAGCAAACAGG